rnacentral:rRNA from 1 species
GACGAACGCUGGCGGCGUGCUUAACACAUGCAAGUCGAACGGAAAGGCCCUGCUUUUGUGGGGUGCUCGAGUGGCGAACGGGUGAGUAACACGUGAGUAACCUGCCCUUGACUUUGGGAUAACUUCAGGAAACUGGGGCUAAUAUCGGAUAGGAGCUCCUGCUGCAUGGUGGGGGUUGGAAAGUUUCGGCGGUUGGGGAUGGACUCGCGGCUUAUCAGCUUGUUGGUGGGGUAGUGGCUUACCAAGGCUUUGACGGGUAGCCGGCCUGAGAGGGUGACCGGCCACAUUGGGACUGAGGGACGGCCCAGACUCCAACGGUAGGCAGCAGUGGGGAGUAUUGCACAAUGGGCGGAAGCCUGAUGCAGCAACGCCGCGUGCGGGAUGACGGCCUUCGGGUUGUAAACCGCUUUCGCCUGUGACGAAGCGUGAGUGACGGUAAUGAGUAAAGAAGCACCGGCUAACUACGUG